rnacentral:rRNA from 1 species
AGAGUUUGAUCCUGGCUCAGGAUGAACGCUAGCGGCAGGCUUAAUACAUGCAAGUUGAGGGGCAGCAUGAUAUACGCGAGUAUAUUGAUGGCGACCGGCGGACGGGUGAGUAAUAGGUAGGAGACCUACCUCAUACAGGGGGAUAGCAUAGAGAAAUCUGUGGUAAUACUCCAUGAGGUUAUAUGAAUAGAGGCAUAUAAUCAAAGCAUAAGUGAUUAUGCGGUAUGAGAGGGGCCUACUGACCAUUAGCUAGUUGGUGAGGUAAGGGCUCACCAAGGCGAAGAUGGUUAGGGGUUUUGAGAGAGAGACCCCCCACAUUGGAACUGAGAGACGGUCCAGACUCCUACGGGAGGCAGCAGUAGGGAAUAUUGGGCAAUGGGCGAAAGCCUGACCCAGCCAUGCCGCGUGAAGGAAGACGGCCUUAUGGGUUGUAAACUUCUUUACUACGCGAAUAGAGGUUAGUACGAGAUACUAAUAGGAAGGUAGUGUAGUAAAAAGCACCGGCUAACUCCGUGCCAGCAGCCGCGGUAAUACGGAGGGUGCGAGCGUUAUUCGGAAUUACUGGGUUUAAAGGGUGCGUAGGCGGUUAAAUAAGUUGUCAGUGAAAGGCUACGGCUCAACUGUAGUAGUGCUGGCGAUACUGUAUAACUAAGGACAUGGGAGGGGUACCUGGAAUGUGUGGUGUAGCGGUGAAAUGCGUAGACAUCACACAGAACACCGGAGGCAAAGGCGGGGUACUAGACCAUAGUUGACGCUGAGGCACGAAAGCGUGGGGAUCAAACAGGAUUAGAUACCCUGGUAGUCCACGCCCUAAACGAUGAUCACUAGAUAUUGGCGACAGACAGUCAGUGUCCAAGCGAAAGUGAUAAGUGAUCCACCUGGGGAAUACGGCCGCAAGGUUAAAACUCAAAGGAAUUGACGG